GACAGAGGGUGCAAGCGUUGCUCGGAAUCACUGGGCGUAAAGGGCGUGUAGGCGGCUAGAUAAGUCGGGCGUGAAAUCCCCAGGCUCAACCUGGGAACUGCACUCGAAACUGUUUAUCUUGAGUGCCGGAGAGGAAAGCGGAAUUCCUGGUGUAGAGGUGAAAUUCGUAGAUAUCAGGAGGAACACCAGUGGCGAAGGCGGCUUUCUGGACGGUAACUGACGCUGAGACGCGAAAGCGUGGGGAGCAAACAGG
rnacentral:rRNA from 1 species